GACAGAGGGGGCAAGCGUUGCUCGGAAUUACUGGGCGUAAAGGGCGCGUAGGCGGGAUGGCAAGUCGGUCGUGAAAUCCUUCGGCUCAACCGAAGAACGUCGAUCGAUACUGCUGUUCUUGAGGGUUGCAGAGGAGACUGGAAUUCCCGGUGUAGCGGUGAAAUGCGCAGAUAUCAGGAGGAACACCAAUGGCGAAGGCAGCUCGCUGGGACGUGACUGACGCUGAGACGCGAAAGCGUGGGGAGCAAACAGG
rnacentral:rRNA from 1 species